rnacentral:rRNA from 1 species
GACGUAGGGUGCAAGCGUUGUCCGGAUUUAUUGGGCGUAAAGAGCUUGUAGGCGGCUUGUCGCGUCUGCUGUGAAAAUCCGAGGCUCAACCUCGGACUUGCAGUGGGUACGGGGCAGGCUAGAGUGUGGUAGGGGGAGACUGGAAUUCCUGGUGUAGCGGUGAAAUGCGCAGAUAUCAGGAGGAACACCGAUGGCGAAGGCAGGUCUCUGGGCCACUACUGACGCUGAGAAGCGAAAGCAUGGGGAGCGAACAGG